rnacentral:rRNA from 1 species
AUUGAACGCUGGCGGCAUGCCUUACACAUGCAAGUCGAACGGUAACAGGUCUUCGGAUGCUGACGAGUGGCGAACGGGUGAGUAAUACAUCGGAACGUGCCCGAGAGUGGGGGAUAACGAAGCGAAAGCUUUGCUAAUACCGCAUACGAUCUCAGGAUGAAAGCAGGGGACCGCAAGGCCUUGCGCUCACGGAGCGGCCGAUGGCAGAUUAGGUAGUUGGUGGGAUAAAAGCUUACCAAGCCGACGAUCUGUAGCUAGUCUGAGAGGACGACCAGCGCAACUGGGACUGAGACACGGCCCAGACUCCUACGGGAGGCAGCAGUGGGGAAUUUUGGACAAUGGUCGCAAGCCUGAUCCAGCCAUGCCGCGUGCAGGAUGAAGGCAUUCGGGUUGUAAACUGCUUUUGUACGGAACGAAAAGACUCCUUCUAAUAAAGGGGGUCCAUGACGGUACCGUAAGAAUAAGCACCGGCUAACUACGUGCCAGCAGCCGCUGUAAUAC